rnacentral:rRNA from 1 species
GACGAACGCUGGCGGCGUGCUUAACACAUGCGAGUCGAACGCUGAAGCUCAGCUUUUGUUGGGUGGAUGAGUGGCGAACGGGUGAGUAACACGUGAGUAACCUGCCCCCUUCUUUGGGAUAACGCCCGGAAACGGGUGCUAAUACUGGAUAUUCACUGGUCUUCGCAUGGGGGUUGGUGGAAAGGGUUUUUCUGGUGGGGGAUGGGCUCGCGGCCUAUCAGCUUGUUGGUGGGGUGAUGGCCUACCAAGGCUUUGACGGGUAGCCGGCCUGAGAGGGUGACCGGUCACAUUGGGACUGAGAUACGGCCCAGACUCCUACGGGAGGCGGCAGUGGGGAAUAUUGCACAAUGGGCGCAAGCCUGAUGCAGCGACGCCGCGUGAGGGAUGGAGGCCUUCGGGUUGUGAACCUCUUUCGCUCAUGGUCAAGCCGCAACAAUGGUUGUGGUGAGGGUAGUGGGUAAAGAAGCGCCGGCUAACUACGUG